rnacentral:lncRNA from 1 species
AUGACUUCCAGUAUAACUGUGCACUUGAAACUGCUUGGUAUAAAAGGUGAAAGCCUUGCAUGUGGAAAGCCUCUGAUUGGUCAUUCAUCACCAACCAUGCCCAUCAUACAUAAUGGUGGACUCAAAUCAUAUAAGCUCCAUGGAUUUGAACAGAAGCUGUCUAAUUGUAACAGACAUGAGAAAACCUCCACUGACUUUCAGUCCAUUCAGAAACAUGCAAAGACAAAUCCUGAAGAAAAAACAUAUGGAUAUAAGCAGUGUGGAAGAUCCUGCUCUGAUUGCACUGAAGGAAGUAACACUGAAGAGAAAUUCUUUGAAUGUAAGCAAGAUGUGAGAGCCUUCAGUACACCCAACUAUGUUCAAAUCCAGGAAAGAAAUCAUAGUAGCAUGAAUACCUAUAUAUGUAUACAACAUGGAAAAGAUUUGAAUUAUCACUAUGAUAUUCAGAAACAAAGUGCUCACACUGGAACAAAAUCCUAUGAACACUCUUGGAAAUCCAUAAAUAAUAACACUUCAUUUGGUAAUCAUGUGUUUCAGCAUGGUCACAUCACAUCACUUGGCUUGAAUAUCUGACUUCUAGCAAACCCACUCCAUUAACUUCCGCCAGUGAGUCCUGCAUUCUCUGAGUAAUGUAACCCUACUUGUCAUUUUCCACAUUCCCCCUAACACCUCACAGUUCAGUGUAGUAAUGUCUUCAUUGGCUUCUUCCUCUUUCAAUAUGGAAACAUUCCAUUAGAUUUCUAAGGGGCACAUUUCACAUCUGUGGCCUUUCAGGCCUAAUUUUUGUAAUAUGUAUGCUAAAGGCCAGAAUUAUUUCUUUAGAAAGCAUGUCAAAAUUUCAAGUCUGCAUUCGAUAACCUGUAAACAUAUACUUAGAACAUGAGUGCAUCCAAUAUGCAGGUCUUUGUCCAUGCAUUAUAUAUUCAACAUUCUAAGGACUUUUUGAGGUACAGUUCUGAUUGACUGGUUUUACUGAUAAAACACCUGAAGCUAGAGAAAUUUUAAAGUAUCACAAGUUCUCAUAGCUUGGGUCACUAUGAAGAAGCUAAAAUGUAUGUGUAUGGGUGUAAUUCUACCCUCUUCUGCCCUUAUUUUGUUUUUCUCUGACCUAUAUGCCAUGAAUCAUGAAUUCUUCCUCUGCUGCCUGGUCUUUUCCUCGGUCUUCUUUUAUUCUGCAAAGGAGAAUCUUUUGUGACUUGAUCUUACCAUGUCUAUAAUGUACUCAUUAUUAUGGAUCCAUAUGAGAUGCCUUGGUAGUGCCCAUCUGCUGGUUGAGUUGAAAUAUUACAAAAUAAAGGGAAGGUUCUGACUCAUCUCUUGUCUCCUGUGAAAGCUCUCUAAGCUCCCUGCCUUGUGAGGAUUACAUAAUGAAUGGUUGUUGUGGAAAAGGCGAUAGGAACGGAGAAUACAGUAGUGGGAAAUGGCUUCACUGACAAACCAAAAAUAUGCAGCAUGUUACAUGUCUUUAUACAAAUGCCCUGAUUCUUCAUAUAGUGAAGGUUUAAUGAUGAGAAAAUUGAGGGAUAGCAAAAAUGUCAUUUUCCACAUGCACAAAACUGUCUCUGGGCUCAUAUUGAUGGCCAUAGUUGAGACUGUGAUACAUAGACAGGAUAAGAGACCACAAAAGUCUACCCAGUCAGAGGUGGUGUCUGGGUAAUGGUAAUGACUGUGCUUUUAAACUAGGGUACCUGAGCCUGAUUACUUCCUUUUUCUCAGACUCAGGGCUUUUUUUUUCUCUGUUGAGUAAACACUGAGAUGUUAGCUGAUAUCAGAAUGCUCUUUGAAAUCUUAAAAGUGUCCAAGGAACUAGACUCUUGGAUUGGUGAUACAAGGUAUUAUCCUUGAGUCAAAAAAAGGUCUUCCUUCAGCUUAAUGUUAUCUGUGUUCCUACAGAUAAAUAAGGCUGGGAAAGUUAAAAAAUGCCUUAAUUUUGAUGAUUAUGUAUACAUUCUCCACCAUGAUCAAAUAAUUAAUUCUGUAUUAUAUGCAAAAGGAGAUGUUGGUGUGUUUGGAAACUCCAGAAUCCACCCUUAUGCCAACCUCCAUUUCAUUCCAGUCCAAAGACUUUGAUAAUUGUGCUCUCUAGCCUUUGUGUGACAGAACCAGUAAUAAGGGAUGAGCUGAUAGGGGCAGUCAUUUUUGUUGAGCUUUUGUUGACAUUUUGCAAUUCUCAUAAGCUCUUUUCACAUUUCUGUUGAGAUAAGAAAAUGUGCAUGAACCAUAUUAUGUUCCUCAAAAAAAAAAAAAAAAGCAUAGCAGUAGAGAACUUCCUGAAACAUAGGAGAAUUGAAAUAUACCUUUUCUUCACCCCAACAAUCUGGGUUCAACUUACAUGGUGGCAAAACCUUUUACCUAGGCUUUUACAGGCACAAGAGUGAUAAUUCUCUCUGAUGCUUCAUAGUCUUCACACAGACCAAUUUUAAGAAUGCCAUCUCUCCAUGUUCAAUAUGCUAACAUGUCUGCUUACUAUAGUCUGUAUUAUCAAUGCCAAUUCAUCAUUUCCUAGUAAACUUUGUAGUUCAAAUGAUUGCAGGUAAAAUACUACCUCUUCUAUGAUCUUGUCAGUUUCACACUUCCUUUUAUAUUUUCAUGGCAUCUUGCUCUCAUUUAUUUUCUACUAAAUUCACAGCAAUGUUUAUUUUCAUUUAUUAUGAAAAUAUUGAACAUGCUGAUGAUCAGCGUCUGCAAACAGUGUGUUGAUUGUACUUCAUUCCCAGUGCUAUGGUGACUCCAUGAGUGACUUGGAAUGUGAAGGAGGGUCCAUUAUUGCUCUGGGUAGACCUAGUCAGUCCAAACCUGGGGAAUCACUUCAAGGAGGGCUUACCACCUCCAAGGCCCAUCCUGACCUGGUGGGCAAGGCUUCUGUCCACCUAGUAAAUGUGUCAGUGCAUACCAGGAGGUGAAUGUACCCGUUACACAUGUAGGAAAAUGGGUGAAGUCUGUUUGCCAGUUUUCUCCAAGAGAGGACCCAUGCCUUUCUACUGGUUCAGAAAAUGGGAUAGAUGAGUCUGGGUAUUAUGAGGGACACAGACAGGACAUAUUCUUGAGACAUGUGUUACAAUGUUAUAGAAUCCAGGCAAUACAAAGACUGUGCCAUAGAGGUGGUGAGGUGACAUGGAACUAUAGGUGGAAAGCAUCAUGUAGGAACUUAAUAAUUUUCUACUGCUCUUGUCACAAGAAUAGUCAGGGUCCUACAUACCAACAUUGGCCCUUUUCAACUACUUGUGAGUAGUUUGAAGCUCUUCUAUAGAGUAUCCUGUCUCUAACCUAAGGCCUGGAAUGGGACCAUGAUAGAGCUAUUGAUGGGCCAGAAUUAUUUUGGAAAGUGGCAAUUUAGCAGUGAAGUCUCCCUUAGACAUUCUCUGGGAGAAAGGACCCAAGGAGCCUUAAUAUCCCCAGCAAUGGACAACUGCUACUUCACUUGGGACAUUUACUGCCUCUGAGAGAUUGAGCAUCUCUAGUCCAUGUAUGUUGGAGAAUGGUGACUACUCAAAAUUCCCCUUUUUUCCACAUGACUGCAUGUGCCUUAGGACCAGAAAAGGAAAUUUGGAGUCAGUAUAUAUAUUGACUCUCUUGCCCAGGGCAAGUUGGAGAGCCUGAAGGAGGGCAAUAAGUUCUGCCUUGGAAGCAGAAGUCCCAGGGGGUAGUGGUGCUUCAGUGACCUGGGAGGCCUGGCCAUGGCAUAUCCUGCCCUCCUAAUCCCAUCUUUAAUGAAACUGCUACCCAUGUGCUAGCCAUCCCUGUCAAAGCCUGGUCUCUCAAAUUGAGGCAGCUGGCACAGUUCUGGGUGAUGUUUUCAUCAAACUCAUGGUGUUGGUUAUUUGGGAGGAGGGUGACUGGAUAUAAAACAGUACAAGCCUAAGGAGAGACAUCUGGAUUUUCAGUAACAGUAGCCUGAUAAUUUAGUGAGUCUUUCUCCAGUCAUCCAUAAAUGUCCCCUGAGUUCUAACAGAGCCUUAAACUCAUGUAGUGUUAGAACUAAGAGUAUUUGUCCCUAGGUUGUCUUAGAAGCUUCCUUGACUAAGAGUCUCACAAUGGCUAUUGCUCAUAGGCAGCUAGCCCAGCCCUGUGUCAUCCCACCUAGUCUCUUGGAAAAGUAGGCAACUGGUCAGUUUUCCUGGUCCAGAUGCUGAGUCCCACAUCAAAAGCAACUCCUAUUUCUCAGCCUUGGAGAGAGGAAAAGGCUUAGUUAGGCACUGGAUUUCUAAUGCUGCAGCCUUUAUCAGGGCCCAUUUUAAGGCCUUAAAGGGUUCUUGUGUGGCUGCUGUCCAUUUUUUUUUUUUUUGAGAGAAAAAUUACUGUAACUUUUCAAAAGGGUUAUGCAAGGUCACAUUUCAGAUAUUACAUGUUAUACAUUAACUAUGAAAUACAAUUGAUAUUUAGUUCAAGCACAAUAUAAAUUAGUUUUUAAACGGGG